GCCUGGCUGGCUCAGUUGGUAGAGCAUGUGACUCUUGAUCUCAGGGUUGUAAGUUCGAGCCCCAUGUUGGGUG
rnacentral:tRNA from 1 species